UACGUAGGUGGCGAGCGUUGUCCGGAUUUACUGGGCGUAAAGGGCGCGCAGGAGGUCGUACAAGUCGCGUGUGAAAGCCCCCGGCUCAACUGGGGAGGGUCACGCGAUACUGUUCGACUCGAAGGCAGGAGAGGGUAGUGGAAUUCCCGGUGUAGUGGUGAAAUGCGUAGAUAUCGGGAGGAACACCAGUGGCGAAGGCGACUACCUGGCCUGUUCUUGACGCUGAGGCGCGAAAGCUAGGGUAGCAAACGGG
rnacentral:rRNA from 1 species